GUCACUGGCAUGACAGCUUUGAUAAUGAAACUUGUAAAUUUUUUCAUAGCAAUGAACUGUUUGUAGAAUAAAUAGUUGCCUACUAGGCUACUAGCUUUUGUUUUAUGAGGAUCCCAUAGCGUAGAAGUGGAAGGAUGUCUUCUUGACGAAAUAGAUGAAAUAUGGAGGUUAUGGACAAAAUAUUUUGU